rnacentral:miRNA from 1 species
UAAAAUAACCGAUCUUAAAAGUACUUUUAAGAUCGAUUAUUUUAUGACUGAUUUUAAAAGUGCUACUUUUAAAAUCGGUUAUUUAA